GGCUGCUUCAACAGCACAUAUACUAAUAUUGGAAAAAUACAGGGAAGAUUAGCAAGGCCCCUGCGCAAGAUGACACACACAUUUGUGAAGCAGUCCAUGUUUUC